rnacentral:rRNA from 1 species
UACGAAAGGACCAAGCGUUACUCGGAAUCACUGGGCGUAAAGCGCGCGUAGGCGGCUUUGUAUGUCGAUUGUGAAAGCCCCGGGCUCAACCUGGGAACUGCAGUCGAAACUGCAAAGCUUGAAUGUUGGAGAGGUUGGGGGAAUACCUAGUGGAGAAGUGAAAUUCGUAGAGAUUAGGUGGAACACCAGAGGCGAAGGCGCCUGACUGGCCAAACAUUGACGCUAAGGCGCGAAAGCGUGGGUAGCAAACAGG